UACGAGGGGUGCGAGCGUUAUUCGGAAUCAUUGGGCGUACAGGGCGCGUAGACGGCGCAUUAAGUCAACUGUUAAAUUUCCCGGCCUAACCGGGAGCCAGCAGUAGAUACUGAUGUGCUAGAGGAUGGAAGAGAGAAGUGGAAUUCUCUGAGUAGCGGUAAAAUGCGUAGAUCUCGAGAGGAACACCGAUGGCGAAGGCAGCUUCUUGGUCCAUACCUGACGUUGAGGCGCGAAAGCGUGGGGAGCAAACAGG
rnacentral:rRNA from 1 species